AUUGACAUUUGUGUCUGAUUAUACACUUCCCCUCUUUCUGGAAGAACUUUGGGUGGGCUAGUUGAGCCCAUUAGCUUCCUUCUUCCUGUGUCCCGGAUAAUUCCUGUUCAUCUCCUUGGUGCAAUUUCUGAGAAAGGUUUGAAUGGGUUUGGAGGAAAAUCAGUGACUAAAGCUCACAGUUUCUGCUUUGGGGACCUUUUCUAUAAAAGGCUCUUUGAUCUGGCAUGAAAAAUAGUUAGCAUAGUUCUCAAAUUCACAGAGAUAAUGAAUUCUUGCUGUUUUCUGGCAACAUAUUUUAAAAUGGCAUUGAGUAGACUUCUUUAAUAAAAAACCUCAAAUAAGACCCAACCAGGAAAUCAGACUUGGUAAGAUUCAUUCAUACAGUUGUAGAAGUUCUAAGUCAAAAAAAAAAAUCAUGAUUCUAUCUUUCCUCCCUUGGCUGCCUUAUUAGAUAUUUUUGGAGUGUACUCUAUUCCAUAUGCUAUUCAUGUUUUAGAGGAUAAAGCCUGGCUCUGCUUUUGGGUUGUAGUUCAUUAUGAAGCCUGAAAACAAGAGAAGUGUUUAAAAUAUGCAGCCACUUACAUAUACAGCAUUAGUGAUCUCAGCUGGCAGUUCUAUAUGGACAAGUGAUCUCACAGCUUAAAAAUAAGUAUGUAGCUAUAUUGAGGAUUUUUAAAAAUAGUGACCAGAUUUCUAAUCCUAGUAGUUCUUGGAGCAAGCCAUGGCUGAAAAUUCAGAUUGAAUAAUAUUCUAUAAUAUUCAGAAGGCUUUUCUAACCAACAGAAUGAAAAGCAAAACUACAGACAUGAGGGAGAACUGGACCAAGAGAAAAAAAUUAUUGGAUUCAUGGGAUUUUUGUUCUUAUCCUGAAAUUUAAAUCUUUGUACUCUUACUUUGUCUUGUUUGUGACAAGCCAGAUAUGAGUGGUUCGUGACAUUUCUACCAGCUGGUUCAGAGGUUGUGGACAUGGCUACAUUUCAUCAUAUAAACCUUUAUUUAAAGGAGCUGGUGCUAGAGUAAUAGUUUAUGGAAGCAAUUUGCUAUCAAUAGUCACAAGUACUAAAUUUAUUUUAGCUCCUUUUUCUGUGAUUUUAUUAAUUGGAACAGUUCUCUCUCCAAGGGAUCUUUUGCAUUUUGGACAUGAUCUCUGUUGGAUAGAAUCAAGUGAUAGUCAUGGGAUUUUCUGAAUUUGAUCUCACAGUAUCUGGUUUAGUUGAUAAAUUCCAUCAGCUUUGCAAACAUUGAUUCAACUUGUCCUGCCAAAUUUUCCCUUCCCUGUCCACUUUCUGAGUGCCUUUUUCUUGCAUCAACUAUCUAUUAGGCAAAGGCAUUUCGAGUGUUUCUGUACAGCAGGCACAUUUAAGAGUCUCCUGAAAGGGGACUUCUGUCGUGGCGCAGUGGUUAACAAUCCUCCUGCCAAUGCAGGGGACACGGGUUCGAGCCCUGAUCCGGGAAGAUCCGGCAUGCCUCAGAGCAACUAAGCCCGUGCGCCACAACUACUGAGCCUGCAUACCACAACUACUGAGCCCACGAGCUACGACUACUGAAGCCCACGCGUCUAGAGCCCGUGCUCCGCAACAAGAGAAGCCACCGCAAUAAGAAGCCCGCGCACCGCAACGAAGAGUAGCCCCUGCUCACCGCAACUAGAGAAAGCCCGUGAACAGCAACGAAGACCCAACACAGCCACAAAUAAAAAAAAGUCUCCUGAAAUAAAGGGGGAGAAUAUGCCAAGAUUAGAAAUAUAACAGAGGGAGAGAGAGGUGACAUUUCUAAUAAUUCAUAAGCCCAACUGCUUAAUCUCUUUAAAUCGUUAGUCAUGUGCAUCAGUUCUUACAUUCCUAACUAAAACAGAAAAAAGUUCACUCUUCCUCUGCUCUCAGUAUUCCCCUCAUGUAAGACAGCGUACCCAGCAAGUGACGGCUGGUUUAUUUCCUUUUCCCUAGCAUUUCAGAUUGAUUGACGGGGAUUUUUUAUUCAAAUCAGGGCCACCCCAUGGCAGUGUUUUUUGAGGCAGCCCAUUUGGCAUGUUCCCUCCAACUGUGAGGACAAAGCCUGAUUUGUCUUCCCAUGACCUGGCAGAGGAGGUAGAAGUACCUGCUGGCUUCAUGUAGCACGUCCCCUAGCCAGUAUUCCACCUCUUCACGUGGUGAGUCAGCCCGAUGGUAUACUGACUUCUAUAACACAGCAGGGUGGAGACCUGGAAGUCCCUAAGCCGGUCGGGGAGGAGGGAAUGGUUUGCGUGUCAAACCUUCCAGCAAUGCAGCUUACAGGGAAAAAUUGCAAAAUACUGAAGCCCUUUGCCGCCAGAUUUUUCCAUUAGCACCACACUUUACACAGUUUUCAAAUCUGCCUCAGGGACAGCUGUUUGGCAAUGUGAGGGGAAAAGGUCACGUCACAUCAUAAGCUCUGUGGUUGGUUACCUGUCAGCCUGUCCUGCAAGGAAUCCCAGCAGGCCCUGAGCAAUGCCUUCUAAACGCUCAUUCAUCACACACACACACAAGGAGCCGUGGAUUCUCCAAAGGGGGUGCUCGGAAAUUAUUUGAGAACUGGAAGACAGUGCUGGAACUUACACCACCUCAGGAUACUGAUUUUAAAUGAAGAAAUCCAAGACAGAAAAGCUUCCGGAAAGAAUCCUUGCAUUCCUGGAAUAAACCCAACUUGAUCAUGGUGUAUGAAUGGGAGAAAAUAUUUGCAAAUGAAGCAACUGACAAAGGAUUAAUCUCGAAAAUUUACAAGCAGCUCAUGCAGCUCAGUAACAAACAAACAAACAACCCAAUCCAAAAAUGGGCAGAAGACCUAAAUAGACAUUUCUCCAGAGAAGAUAUACAGAUUGCCAACAAACAUAUGAAAGAACGCUCAACAUCAUUUAUCAUUAGAGAAAUGCAAAUCAAAACUACAAUGAGAUAUCAUCUGAUACCACUCAGAAUGGCCAUCAUCAAAAAAUCUAGAAACAAUAAAUGCUGGAGAGGGUGUGGAGAAAAGAGAACACUUGCACUGCUGGUGGGAAUGUGAAUUAGUACAGCCACUAUGGAGAACAGUAUGGAGGUUCCUUAAAAAACUACAAAUAGAACUACCAUAUGACCCAGCGAUCCCACUACUGGGCAUAUACCCUGAGAAAACCAUAAUUCAAAAAGAGUCGUGUACCACAAUGUUCACUGCAGCUCUGUUUACAAUAGCCAGGACAUGGAAGCAACCUAAGUGUCCAUCAACAGAUGAAUGGAUAAAGAAGAUGUGGCACAUAUAUACAAUGGAAUAUUACUCAGCCAUAAAAAGAAACGAAAUUGAGUUAUUUGUAGUGAGGUGGAUGGACCUAGAGUCUGUCAUACAGAGUGAAGUAAGUCAGAAGGAGAAAAACAAAUACCGUAUGCUAACAUAUAUGUGGACUAAGAGAAAAAAAAAAAGGUCAUGAAGUACCUAGGGGUAAGAUGGGAGUAAAGACACAGACCUACUAGAGAAUGGACUUGAGGAUAUGGGGAGGGAGAAGGGUAAGCUGUGACAAAGUGAGAAAGUGGCAUGGACAUAUAUACACUACCAAACGUAAGGUAUAUAGCUAGUGGGAAGCAGCCGCAUAGCACAGGGAGAUCAGCUCGGUGCUUUGUGACCACCUAGAGGGGUGGGAGGGAGGGUGGGAGGGAGGGAGACGCAAGAGGGAAGAGAUAUGGGAACAUAUGUAUAUGUAUAACUGAUUCACUUUGUUAUAAAGCAGAAACUAACACACCAUUGUAAAGCAAUUAUACUCCAAUAAAGAUGUUUAAAAAAAAAAAAGAGGGAGGGGAUAUGGGGACAUAUGUAUGCAUAUGGCUGAUUCACUUUGGUGUACAACAGAAACUAACACAGUAUUGUGAAGCAAUUAUACUCCAAUAAAGAUCUAGUAAAAAAAUAAAAUAAAAAUAGAGACCUGGGAAUUCC